UACGUAGGGCGCAAGCGUUGUCCGGAAUCACUGGGCGUAAAGCGCACGUAGGCGGACUCUUAAGUCGGUGGUGAAAUCCUGGAGCUCAACUCCAGAACUGCCUUCGAUACUGGGAGUCUCGAGUUCGGGAGAGGUGAGUGGAACUGCGAGUGUAGAGGUGAAAUUCGUAGAUAUUCGCAAGAACACCAGUGGCGAAGGCGGCUCACUGGCCCGAUACUGACGCUGAGGUGCGAAAGCGUGGGGAGCAAACAGG
rnacentral:rRNA from 1 species